rnacentral:rRNA from 1 species
UACGUAGGGGGCAAGCGUUGUCCGGAAUUAUUGGGCGUAAAGAGCGCGUAGGCGGUCCGAUAAGUCGGCUGUGAAAGUCCAGGGCUCAACCCGGGAACUGCGUCCGAUACUGGAAGGCUUGAAUCCGGGAGAGGGAUGCGGAAUUCCAGGUGUAGCGGUGAAAUGCGUAGAUAUCUGGAGGAACACCGGUGGCGAAGGCGGCAUCCUGGACCGGCAUUGACGCUGAGGCGCGAAAGCCAGGGGAGCAAACGGG